UACGGAAGGCAGCAGUGGGGAAUAUUGCACAAUGGGCGCAAGCCUGAUGCAGCCAUGCCGCGUGUAUGAAGAAGGCCUUCGGGUUGUAAAGUACUUUCAGUCGUGAGGAAGGUGUUAAGGUUAAUAACCUUAGCAAUUGACGUUAGCGACAGAAGAAGCACCGGCUAACUCCGUGCCAGCAGCCGCGGUAAUACGGAGGGUGCGAGCGUUAAUCGGAAUUACUGGGCGUAAAGGGCACGCAGGCGGUUAAUUAAGUUGGAUGUGAAAUCCCCGGGCUUAACCUGGGAAUGGCAUUCAAGACUGGUUAGCUAGAGUCUUGUAGAGGGGGUAGAAUUCCAUGUGUAGCGGUGAAAUGCGUAGAGAUGUGGAGGAAUACCGGCGGCGAAGGCGGCCCCCUGGACAAAGACUGACGCUCAUGUGCGAAAGCGUGGGGAGCAAACAGGGAUUAGAUACC
rnacentral:rRNA from 1 species